rnacentral:snRNA from 1 species
GUGCUCACUUCCAUAGCACAUACACUAAAAAUUAGAAUGAUACAGAGAUGAUUAGCAUGGCCCCUGCACAAGGAUGGCAUGCAAAUUCGUGAAGUGUUUCAUAUUUUA